AUAAAGGCAGUGAUGUUGAGAACUACCUAUUUUAUGAGGGAAUCGAUUCCCUUGUGAUUAGAAAAUCACCAAUGGAUCCUUCUGAGCCCUCA